UACCAAAUUCAUCCGCCUGAAACAAAGACCAUACGAGUUUGUUGGUGAAGGAGUGAGCAGUUCUUACGGAUAAUAUUGAAGAGCACAGUUGAAUGAUAUGCAAAGCGGCGGUGGAGCUGCAAAAAUCUUCAAAAAGAGCUUUAUUUGGACCUUUGAGGCAUGACAUUUUUUACAAUCUCUUUACAAAAAAAUGAGUGUAAUGAAGCAACAUAUACCAUCCAAUUUCCUUUGCAAUGCAGAACUUGAGGUGGACGAUAUCAGCAACUUACCAGCCCAGAUUGUCGACAAGAUUCUGUCUCAUUUGUCACUUAGGGAUGCUGUGAGGACAAGUGUCUUGUCAAGUAAAUGGAGAAACAAAUGGGUUACUCUUCCAAACCUUGUAUUUGACAAUCAAUCUCUUUUGAUCUCAUCCCAAA
rnacentral:misc_RNA from 1 species